CCGCCUACGGGAGGCAGCAGUAGGGAAUCUUCCACAAUGGACGAAAGUCUGAUGGAGCAACGCCGCGUGAGUGAAGAAGGGUUUCGGCUCGUAAAGCUCUGUUGGUAGUGAAGAAAGAUAGAGGUAGUAACUGGCCUUUAUUUGACGGUAAUUACUUAGAAAGUCACGGCUAACUACGUGCCAGCAGCCGCGGUAAUACGUAGGUGGCAAGCGUUAUCCGGAUUUACUGGGUGUAAAGGGAGCGCAGGCGGUGGGGCCAGUC
rnacentral:rRNA from 1 species